CCUACGGGAGGCAGCAGUGGGGAAUCUUGCGCAAUGGGCGAAAGCCUGACGCAGCGACGCCGCGUGAGCGAUGAAGGCCUUCGGGUUGUAAAGCUCUGUGGGGAGGAAAGAAUAAGGUUUGGCUAAUAUCCAAGCUGAUGACGGUACCUCCUUAGCAAGCACCGGCUAACUCUGUGCCAGCAGCCGCGGUAAU
rnacentral:rRNA from 1 species